ACUUUCAGCAACGGAUGUCUUGGCUCCCACAACGAUGAAGAACGCAGCGAAAUGCGAUACGUCAUGCGAAUUGCAUAUCUUAGUGAGUCAUCAAAAUUUUGAACGCAACUUGCACUUCAAGGAAUUCCUUGGAGUAUGUCUGUUGGAGUGUC
rnacentral:rRNA from 1 species